rnacentral:rRNA from 1 species
UACGUAGGGUGCAAGCGUUGUCCGGAAUUAUUGGGCGUAAAGAGCUCGUAGGCGGUUUGUCGCGUCUGCUGUGAAAAUCCAGGGCUUAACCCUGGACCUGCAGUGGGUACGGGCAGACUGGAGUGCGGUAGGGGAGAUCGGAAUUCCUGGUGUAGCGGUGAGAUGCGCAGAUAUCAGGAGGAACACCGGUGGCGAAGGCGGAUCUCUGGGCCGUAACUGACGCUGAGGAGCGAAAGCAUGGGGAGCGAACAGG